rnacentral:rRNA from 1 species
GACGAACGCUGGCGGCGUGCUUAACACAUGCAAGUCGAACGGUAAGGCCCUUCGGGGUACACGAGUGGCGAACGGGUGAGUAACACGUGGGUGAUCUGCCCUGCACUUCGGGAUAAGCCUGGGAAACUGGGUCUACUACCGGAUCGGACUCCGGACUGCAUGGUCUGGGGUGGAAAGCUUUUGCGGUGUGGGAUGGGCCCGCGGCCUAUCAGCUUGUCGGUGGGGUGAUGGGCUACCAAGGCGACGACGGGUAGCCGGCCUGAGAGGGUGACCGGCCACACUGGGACUGAGAUACGGCCCAGACUCCUACGGGAGGCAGCAGUGGGGAAUAUUGCACAAUGGGCGCAAGCCUGAUGCAGCGACGCCGCGUGAGGGAUGACGGCCUUCGGGUUGUAAACCUCUUUCAGCAUCGACGAAGCGAAAGUGACGGUAGGUGCAGAAGAAGGACCGGCCAACUACGUGCCAGCAGCCGCGGUAA